CUGGGCCACCGAAGCGGAACGUGCACACUUAUCCGCUGCGCCACCAGGCUUGCCCCAUGAGAACUCUCUGGAAACUUCUCUCAAGCAGCUCAUAAACAUCCUUCCUCUUGUAAAAUCCCCGUGGCCAUGCCUCAUCGUUUUUUGUCCAGGGUCUCUCUUCAGUUCAGGUACGUUAAUGCUUCUUUUUUCUCGAACUUUUCCUCCUUGGGUAUUACCAUUUUCUGUCUUUCUUCCUGUCUCUCUGCUCAUUUUCCUCCUUCUGGACUGUUUUCAAGGCUUCAUAUGUAGACCUUACCUUUUCUCUCUCUCUCUCCUUUUCAGCUGGGACAGCUCAUUCACAGAUGUAACAAAGUUUUAGAGCAGAAAAGAACUUUAGCUAUAAUUUUGUCAGCUUCAUUUUGCAGAUGACUUCGUCUCUGACCUCUGCAUGGAUAAUUACCACUCAUUCAUUCAUUUAUUCAUUCAUUCUUUUAACUAAUAUCAUUGAGGCCUUCUGAGUGCAAAGGAUUGGUACCAUGAGGGAAUAUCAGAGUUUGCAACUUGGGAAAGGUGAUAGAACAUACACAGAAAUAACCACCGUACAAGGCUGACUGUGAAAAGUACAAGAGAAUAGGCGAGAAUAAACUCAGAAACAGAAUUAGGAUGUUCAAGAGAGAGAUGGGUCUGGUGGAAGGAAGGGGAUGGGAUGGAGAGAGCAAGGAGGGCUUCAAGGAAGAAGUGGUGUCUGUGCUAGGCCUUUUGUCAGAUUUGACAGGGGAAAGGAUAUUCUAGGGGGAGACGAGGAGCUGAACAAAGACCUGGGGAAAGGAAAGCACUGCGUGGCUUUAUGGGAGCCCAAGCUAAGUCAUCAGUGAGCCCUUUCUUGGUUUCUGCUCAGAGGAGCAGUGGGAGGUGAGGCUGGGAGGGAAGGCAGGAGGCACCGGCAGGGCAGGGCCACUAAAGUCAGGCUGGGCUUCUCUGGUAGGCAACAGAGUGAGACAGGACUGAAGUGCUUCGGGGGAGAGUUAGGGGAAAAGGCAGGUAUUUGAGAGACCAUUAGGAGACUGUUAACAAGGGCUAUUUUGGUCUUAAUCUAGAGCAAGGAGAGGAAGGAGGAAAUAGGAUAGAUACCAGAGACCCUGCCAAGGCAGAAUGGAAAGCAUUUGGCUGGUGCAGUUACACAAACAAGAAGACUGAGAAGAAGGAACUCAACAAUAGUUUAUCAGACAUUUAUCGUGUUCAAGGGGCUGUUCCCACUGUUGGGACCACAGAGGGAGCAAGCGAACAGGAAUUGGGGCCAGCCUUGCAAGAGCAGCAGACAUGCUAGAUGGUCUGGACAGACCUGUUGACUGUCCGCUAAUGGGCACUUACCCAAGCUGGGCCAAUCAUAUUACUCUAUUGUAGUAGCUAGUUUCCAAAGAUGGCCCCAAACAAUACCUCCCUAUAUGCACAUGCCCCUCUUCUCAUCCAUAGGGAGAGAUUAUUUCCUCUCCCUUUGAAUGUGGGCUGGUUCUGUGACUGGUUUUAACAAGAAGUGACAUUCAGGGACUUCCUAGCCCAGGUUUAAGAGGCCUAGCAUCUUCCAUUUCCCUCUUAGAAUACUUGUUCUUGUGGGGCUUCCUCUUGGAACCUAGCUGCCAGGUUGGGAGAAGCCCAAGCCACACACAGGCUAUAUGGAGGAGAAUGGAGUGGCUCUAAUUAACAGCUCCAGCUGUCUACCACUUGGGUGAACCAUCUUGGAUGUUCCAGCCCAAUCAAGCCCUGAGGUGACCUCAGCUGACACCACAUGGAGCCAAAGAACCUCCCGGCUGAGCCUAGUUAACUCACAGAAUUGUGAGAUAUAAUAAAAUAGCUGUUGUUUUAAACCACUGAGUUAUGGAGUAGAUUGUUGUGCAGUAAUAGAUAACCCAAACAGCUACCUAUCUGGCCACCUUUACUUGACCCAUAGAUAAGCUUGUACCCAAUCUGACCCCAACUAGAGCCAUGAAAAGAGACUCAUUUCCUUUCUAGUGGCAAAGCUAGGGGGUGUGAGGCCCAGGAGCUGCCUCCACCCUAUAAAGAAAGCCAAUAAAAAGGAAAAAAGUUGACAAGAGAAGCACAGAGGCAGUCAGGGAGUCCUGGACAAACUUGAGCUCUGAGUCCACUUGGCUUGAGAUCAGCCUGCCCAGCUCUCCUUUCCCUGUUUAACCAAACCUUCCCCUAUUUACCCCAGCUAGUUUGAGUCGGUUUCUGUCACUUACAGCCAAUAAACCCUGAUUCAAAUGCUGGCUCAGCAUUUCUAAGAGAACUAAAUUGACACUGUAUAUGACUACACCCGGCCCAUGGCCAACCCUCAGUGUAGUUUUCUUUCUCCUUUUCUCUUCCCAACUCACACCUGCACCCUGCAGAAGGCUCUGUGGUUGAAGGGCGGAUGAAAGAGGGAUACCAAGUAUAUAAAAUGUAGGUUUCUUUUUAACCCCCAACUACAUCGUAGAUUACUUGAGAACAGGGACUGUCUUAUUCAUAUUCAUAUUUCCAGUGCCCAGAACAGGAUCAAGCAUGGAAGAGGAAAUUUUAAAAUGUUUUUUGAAAGCACAAGUGAAUGAGGUGCUACACCUUUUUCUGAGACAGGAGAGAAGGAUGUUAUGUUGAGGCAGAGAAGAAGGAAGUUGAGAGAAAUCAUAUGGGAUGAUUUGGGUCCCUUCCAGUCUUGGCUCUUCAUGCUUCCACACAUCACCUUCCUCCACCCAUAUACACCCAAGGCAGCAUACAAGCAAGUCUCAAUGCUGGCUGGACAAUCGUUUUAGACUUUUCCCAUCUUUCCUCCUGACAUGCUCCUCCCAAUGUUCUCUGUUUUCUUUCAUCGUCCCUCCUGACAUGCUUGUAUUCCUCUCACUUCCCAGGAACCCCGUUCCGCACUUCAGGUCCCUCCAAACUCGAUGUUCUUCUUGACUCUGCUCCUAGGGCCUCAGAUCUUGGCUCUUCUGCACAAUUUUUGGUUUGAUGUACUGUUCUGGGUUAGGACUCCCCACUGCCCCUCCUUCUCCAGGUCCCUUGGUUCACUGGGUGAUUCAUGGGGAGGGGUUUUAGUAACUCUCCCUCAAGACUGAAGUGUACAGAUGUGAACGUUGGAUGAACCCAACCUUUGCAGGUAACAGGGAAUAGUUUUGAGUAAAACAAAGGGUGGCCUUUGGGAGGUUGCAUGAUAUAGUGAUCAAGAGCAUAAGCUUUGAAAUCAAGGUGCUAUGAUUUCAAAUCCCAGCUCUGCUUGGCCAUUUAUUAAUUGUGUAAAUGUAAACAAAUUAAUCUCCUUUGAGCCUUGGUUCUCUGAUUGUUCUGAGAAUUAGAGCUAAAAAACAGAAAUAGUAUUACCUACCUUUCAGGGCUGUCCUGAGAAUUAGAGCUCAAAUAUGUGAAGUACCUUAUCUGGCAGGCACUCUACAACUGGUAACUCACGCUAUUGUUGGUGGGAAGAUAAAUCUGAACUGUGGACUGUCACAAGGAGCUUGAACUCCAUCAGCCUAUGUCACUCUCGUGCUUAAAACCUACCAAUGACUUCCUUUGCUCUUAGAGAAUCCAGGACCUUUAUUAUGACUCAUAAGGCCCCGUGUUCAUGGCCACUGCAUACCUCGUCGGCCUCAUUCAUUCCACACUUCCCUCAUUCUUCAUACUCUAGCGUAGUCAUCUUCUUUUGGUUCCAGAAGGCGCCAUGCUCCUCCCCACCUCGAGGCUUCCUACAUCUAAGAAGGGGCUAAGUCUGUGUGUGUGUGCAGGGAUGGGAGCGUUGUGUAGGGGAAAUAAAGGCAGAUGAAGUACCUUACUGCUGCAGUGUCCCAGAUUGUUGCUUUGUUCUUAACUGUGAAAAUUAGAAAAACGUACCCUUGAAAAUAAACCGUGUGGUGGAUACA